rnacentral:rRNA from 1 species
AAAUUGAAGAGUUUGAUCAUGGCUCAGAUUGAACGCUGGCGGCAGGCCUAACACAUGCAAGUCGAACGGUAACAGGAAGCAGCUUGCUGCUUUGCUGACGAGUGGCGGACGGGUGAGUAAUGUCUGGGAAACUGCCUGAUGGAGGGGGAUAACUACUGGAAACGGUGGCUAAUACCGCAUAACGUCGCAAGACCAAAGAGGGGGACCUUCGGGCCUCUUGCCAUCAGAUGUGCCCAGAUGGGAUUAGCUAGUUGGUGAGGUAACGGCUCACCAAGGCGACGAUCCCUAGCUGGUCUGAGAGGAUGACCAGCCACACUGGAACUGAGACACGGUCCAGACUCCUACGGGAGGCAGCAGUGGGGAAUAUUGCACAAUGGGCGCAAGCCUGAUGCAGCCAUGCCGCGUGUAUGAAGAAGGCCUUCGGGUUGUAAAGUACUUUCAGCGGGGAGGAAGGUGUUGUGGUUAAUAACCACAGCAAUUGACGUUACCCGCAGAAGAAGCACCGGCUAACUCCGUGCCAGCAGCCGCGGUAAUACGGAGGGUGCAAGCGUUAAUCGGAAUUACUGGGCGUAAAGCGCACGCAGGCGGUCUGUCAAGUCGGAUGUGAAAUCCCCGGGCUCAACCUGGGAACUGCAUUCGAAACUGGCAGGCUUGAGUCUUGUAGAGGGGGGUAGAAUUCCAGGUGUAGCGGUGAAAUGCGUAGAGAUCUGGAGGAAUACCGGUGGCGAAGGCGGCCCCCUGGACAAAGACUGACGCUCAGGUGCGAAAGCGUGGGGAGCAAACAGGAUUAGAUACCCUGGUAGUCCACGCCGUAAACGAUGUCUACUUGGAGGUUGUGCCCUUGAGGCGUGGCUUCCGGAGCUAACGCGUUAAGUAGACCGCCUGGGGAGUACGGCCGCAAGGUUAAAACUCAAAUGAAUUGACGGGGGCCCGCACAAGCGGUGGAGCAUGUGGUUUAAUUCGAUGCAACGCGAAGAACCUUACCUGGUCUUGACAUCCAC